AGUUUGAUCAUGGCUCAGAUUGAACGCUGGCGGCAUGCCUUACACAUGCAAGUCGAACGGCAGCGGGCCUUCGGGGUGCCGGCGAGUGGCGAACGGGUGAGUAAUGCAUCGGAACGUGCCAUUGAGUGGGAUAACGUAGCGAAAGUUGCGCUAAUACCGCAUAUUCUGUGAGCAGGAAAGCAGGGGACCGCAAGGCCUUGCGCUCUUUGAGCGGCCGAUGUCAGAUUAGCUAGUUGGUGGGGUAAAGGCCUACCAAGGCGACGAUCUGUAGCGGGUCUGAGAGGAUGAUCCGCCACACUGGAACUGAGACACGGUCCAGACUCCUACGGGAGGCAGCAGUGGGGAAUUUUGGACAAUGGGGGCAACCCUGAUCCAGCCAUGCCGCGUGAGUGAAGAAGGCCUUCGGGUUGUAAAGCUCUUUCGGCCGGGAAGAAAUCGCAUGGGCCAAUACCCUGUGUGGAUGACGGUACCGGAACAAGAAGCACCGGCUAACUACGUG
rnacentral:rRNA from 1 species